rnacentral:lncRNA from 1 species
CAUCGUCAUUCAGAUUAUAAUGGUUCCUUUUACUCUGAUAAUAUUGCUGAUAUUUCUAGAAAUAGCUUGUUCAUCCAUUUAUUAAUCUCAUAAACCCCUGACUGGGGGAAACAGAGUGGAAAGUGGUCAGAAAUGGGGCUGGAACAGUAAUCAGGAAGCCGGAACCUCCAUUGCCUCAAGAGCUAAGUUCAGUGUCAGGCCUUUGUCUCGAGGGCAACGGGGAACUCUGUAAAGGUAUUUAAGUUGGGGAAUGUAGUGAUCAGCAGCAUUUGGCAGCAAUCACCCUGGGCUGGAGUGGGCCUGACAGGAAUGGGCAAAUCUUGGGGCAGGAAAUCCAGUCAGAAGAUUAUGACGAUAAAGCAGGUGAGAGAUGUUGGUGUCCCAAGGGCAAAGGGGGAUCCCAUCAAGACAUGAGAACCGCCACGUCGUUCUUUCCCCAAUCCCACUGUUUCUAGAUUUUUCCUUCUAGGAGGCCUGCAAAUGUGUUUCCGGGAGGAAAAUCCGUCCCUGCUAUUUCUCCAGCCUUCCCUUGUUACCGGUCCGGCCCUGCCCCUUUAACAUUCAGGAAUGAGAGUGGAAGCAGAAGGCCCAGGUCCCCGGAGGUCCCGACGCCCGGAUUCCACAGCCUGUGAGGGUCCCUUGAGCAGAGCGGGACGAGGCCACUGGCACUACGUCGUGACUUCACCAACAGCCUGCAGUACUCGUUAACGAGAUUUCGCCAGGCCCCUUGGACUAACGCCAGGAUUCUCGGUGCCCGCAGUCAGCGCUCUGGGAUUAGACAACGCCCCACAGGCCGCGGCUCUCUGCUGACCCUCAGCAGCGAUGAGACCGGCGCGCACAAGCCAGCAGCCACUAGCUCUCCCACAAGGCCGAGCGCGGCCAAAGGGCAGCCCCGCCCGCUCCGCCUCCCCCAGCUCUAUUGGCUAGUGCACCUGCCACUCAGCCGCGCGCCGGACUCCGGCUUCGGGCCUGGAGGAGGGAUCCCAAGCCUCCUCGGCUCGGCUCGGCUCGGCUCGGCUCGGCUCGGCUCGGCUCGGCUCGGCUCGGCUCGGCUCGGCUCGGCUCGGCUCGGCUCGGCUCGGCUCGGCUCGGCUCGGCUCGGCUCGGCUCGGCUCGGCUCGGCUCGGCUCGGCUCGGCUCGGCUCGGCUCGGCUCGGCUCGGCUCGGCUCGCUUGUCCUUGAGGUUUACUGUGUUUGGCAUCGCAGUUCCGACGGCAGCCGCCGUUUCGCGACCCACGGCGGACUUGCAUAAACACUUUCUAGUUGGAAUCUCACCCUGUGAGGUGGGCAAGGUAGUGAUAUUCCUGUUUGACGCCGACAGAAAUAAGAGAGAUUGACUCUCAGAACCAUGUGGCGGGAUUUUAAAGGAGGAUCUUAACAGUGGCUCGGACAGACCCGUGUUUUCUGCUCCUAGCAUUAACUACGUCGUUAAACCCUUCUGAAUUUAUUUCGUCUGUGAAAUGGGGAAAAGAUAGCCACCUUGCAUAACUGGUGAAGAAUUCGUAAACUGACAGCAGAAUCUAGUAAGAGGACUGGCCCGUGGUCGGCUCUUAAUGGUGUGUAUGGGGCUAUGAACAUUCCCAGGUCUUCUGACCUCUAGUCUGGGACUCUUUCUGCUAAACUAGGGAUUCUUAGAGGUCCAGAGACUUCGGGAGAUCCAGGGGCAUCUUCAAGGGGGUCCCUGAGUUCUAAACUGCAGAGGAACACUCUUAAGAGAGAUAAUAAAUAUUUCCACCACAUCUGUUAUGGAUAAUAUAUAUUUUGUCAUCUAUUUGCCAGAGACUGUUGUGUCACAGAAUAAAGAAAAAGACUGGGAGAGAGAUGGGAGCUGAUAGACCAGAGGAGACCAAAGACUGAAACUGAAGACUAAACCAUGGAAAUUGGGAACAAGCACUUACUCGCUUAGAGGGUGAAAAAAGUGAAUUUGCCUACAGGGCCAAUUUGGAAGCACCUCUCCCUGGAAGCCAGUCAAUGAAGAGCCAUUGGAGGAUUUUAAAUAAGGAACCGAAAAAUGGAGUCUGAAAAUAGAGGCGCAGAGACCGGUCAACCACAAUGAAGAACAAGCCAUUUUGACCUCCAUCCUGGCUCAUCUCCUCUGUGUUCUCAUAGCAUCAUAUUAUAGAAUGGAUCACAAACGCCUUUGCAGUUGCCUAUUUAUUUGUCCAUUUCUCCCUCCAGACU